UCCAGGCCCUAGAAAAAAAAAACGCUGAAAGGAGCCCAAAGUGACAGUUUUUCUGCGAUCACUGUUCUGCUUGGUGUUAUCUGAUUUGUGGCAUUUCAGGAAAAGACAGUU